rnacentral:rRNA from 1 species
CAGUAGCCGCGGGAAUACAGAGGAUGCAAGCGUUAUCCGGAAUGAUUGGGCGUAAAGCGUGCGCAGGCGGUUCGCUAAGACAGAUGUGAAAUCCCCGGGCUUAACCUGGGAACUGCAUUUGUGACUGGCGGGCUAGAGUAUGGCAGAGGGGGGUAGAAUUCCACGUGUAGCAGUGAGAUGCGUAGAGAUGUGGAGGAAUACCGGUGGCGAAGGCAGCCCCCUGGGCCAAUACUGACGCUCAUGCACGAAAGCGUGGGGAGCAAACAGGAUUAGAUACCCCAGUAGUCCCUGUCUCUUAUAA